rnacentral:rRNA from 1 species
UACCAGCACCCCGAGUGGUCGGGACGAUUAUUGGGCCUAAAGCAUCCGUAGCCGGUUUUACAAGUCCUCCGUUAAAUCCACCUGCUUAACAGAUGGGCUGCGGAAGAUACUACAGAGCUAGGAGGCAGGAGAGGCAAGCGGUACUCAGUGGGUAGGGGUAAAAUCCGUUGAUCCAUUGAAGACCACCAGUGGCGAAGGCGGCUUGCCAGAAUGCGCUCGACGGUGAGGGAUGAAAGCUGGGGGAGCAAACCGG